AAGAUGUUAGUAAAGUAUUUACAUUAUCUUGUCAAGGUAAAAUCAUGAGUUAAACCCACGUACAUCUUU
rnacentral:tRNA from 1 species